rfam:Schistosoma haematobium scaffold443_24, whole genome shotgun sequence.
AUCCAGCUGACGUGUCCCAAAUAGGGCUAAACUCGUGUCAAACUGGAU